GGCGAUAUCGCAGCAAGUGUAGGCCAAGAUUGCGGAGGAGAUUGGCGUGGUGAAGAUGUCCGGCGAAGGAGAUCAGAACCCGGAAGAGAACAAAGCACUCGCGCUGGGUAGGCCAAAGCGAAAGCGAAAACCCGUCCAUUUUUAUGGACCGGCGGAGUUCCGGAAGAGGAGGCUCUUGCGCAUCUCGGAGGGUCUUGGAAUUAAGCUGAGGGACAUCAAGAAGGUGUCUUCAAAUUUGA